UACAGAGGUGGCAAGCGUUGUUCGGAAUUACUGGGCGUAAAGGGCGCGUAGGCGGCCCGUCAAGUCCCGUGUGAAAGCCCCCGGCUCAACCGGGGAACGGCGCGGGAAACUAGCAGGCUUGAGUUCGGGAGAGGGAUGCAGAAUUCCAGGUGUAGCGGUGAAAUGCGUAGAUAUCUGGAGGAAUACCGGUGGCGAAGGCGGCAUCCUGGACCGACAUUGACGCUGAUGAGCGAAAGCUAGGGGAGCAAACGGG
rnacentral:rRNA from 1 species